CCGACGGUGAGAGGCGAAAGCUGGGGGAGCAAACCGGAUUAGAUACCCUGGUAGUCCCAGCCGUAAACGAUGUGCGUUAGGUGUAUCGGUGACCACGAGUCACCGAGGUGCCGAAGAGAAAUCGUGAAACGUACCGCCUGGGAAGUACGGUCGCAAGGCUGAAACUUAAAGGAAUUGGCGGGGAGCACCACAACAGGUGGAGCCUGCGGUUUAAUCGGACUCAACGCCGGAAAUCUCACCGGAUAAG
rnacentral:rRNA from 1 species